rnacentral:rRNA from 1 species
AUGAAGAGGGGGAGGCAGGAGGACCGGCUGAGCGCUCUCCCGGACAAGGCGCUCCAGCUCGUGCUCUCCCACCUCCCGUCCGACGAGGCCGUGCGCACCAGCGCGCUCUCUCGCCGUUGGCGCGGCGUCUACGCGGCCGUCCCCGUCGUCGACCUCACGGACCCCAAGAAAGGCACGCUGGACCGCUGGUCCGGCGGCAAGAACCGCCCGGUCUGCUUCGACCAGAUGGUGACGGGCGCGAUCCUCUGCAAGCCCCCCGGGACGCCCAUCCGCACCCUCCGCCUCGACGCCAUGUUCCCGCCACAAGACCUGCUCGACCAGUGGAUCGUCUCCGCCGUCUACUCCGGGAUCGAGGAGAUCGACGUCAAGCUCAGGUACUGGCACGACCCCGGACGCCGGCUCUGCCCCUUUGGCUCGUCGGAGAAGGCCUCGGCGGACUUCGAGGUCCACCAGCGGAACAGAAACAUCAAGACGCAGCCCCAUUUCUUCGGGUGCAGCACGCUCCGGCGCCUGCGGCUCACCAACUGGACGCUCGACCUGACGCAGGGGGUGGUCGUCUCGUCGCUGGAGACGCUCUACCUCGCCAGGAUCAUGGACCCCAAAGGGCAACUGCAGCUGCUGCUCUCAAGUUGCCCGCGCCUCGCCGACCUGACGCUGCAAGAGCUCCCGAGCGUCACUGAGAUCUCAGUGAAGAGCGCACACUUGCGGAGGUUCACCAUGAUCUGCUGCCACCAUGCCAGCCACGUCAAGCUGCACAGCUCGCGCCUGAAAUCACUGCACUACAAAGGCGGCAUUCCCCUCGAGUCGCUCUUCGAUGUUGCAAACUACAAAGGAAUCAUGGCGCUGACGAUAGAAAUCUGUGAAGACCUCUCCAAAAGGAAAUCAGCUGAGGUUGCUCCGGUCACAGGACUCAUCAGCCAGUGCACCGAGCUGGCGCAUCUCCACCUUUCCUUACGCCCAUCAAUGGCUUACCACAGCAGCGUGUUCGCAGAUGCCGUACGGGGGCUACCUCUCAGGCAGCUGGGCCUCAAAGGCUGCCUGCGCGAGGGCCAUGCCGUCCGGUCUGUCGCCGUCUUGCUUCGUGAAACCAAGAACCUGGAAGUAUUGUCGCUGUUACCUCUGGGUCGGCCCAAAAAGAAGGAGUCCUGGAUGUCUGAUGGCGAAUCAGAUACUGAGACUGAAGACGACGGUGACGAUGAGGUUGACCGUAGUAGCCGUGUGACCAAUAGUUUGUGGCAGAUGUACGUCAGAUGCUUGGGCCAUAAGCUGAAAAGAAUCAGCAUUGUAAAUUAUAAAGGACUACAACUCGAAAGAAUACUUGCACAUUUUCUGCUUGACAGGGGUAAGACUUUGGAGGAAUUCUCGGUUACCUCACCAGUUGAAAGUUCCCAACGAAAGGACCAGAUGGCGUGGCUGCUAAGAUCCUGGAGACACAACCGCCAUACCAGAGUAACCGUACAUUGA